CAGAAGUAGCCGAGCCACUAUUGUCAUGGUCUCCAUGGUUACACACUCAGUGCCACCUGGGCCAGGCGGCUCCUUAGAAUCCAGGAAACCUCCAGGGUGCUGGUCCAGAAGGUCCCGGAGGACACUGACACUCAAGGGUGCUGCUGCAGCUGCUCUGGUCCAAGAGGAGCUCCGUGCACCUGGAUUUUGUGCAGGGAGCUGCCCUGUGGCUGCUUUCUGUGGCCCAAGGUGACAAGAAGUGAUGGUCAGCCAGAGCAGAGCAGAGGCCAGUGUGAACCCAUGAUCCGUGCAUCUUGGGCCGCCUCAGCCCAAGGUCACCUGCAGCCUGCCAGGAUUUGUUGAUGGGGCCAAGUGGGAGCCGGGACUGUGAGCUCCGAGGGCCUUUGUCCUGCUGCCCUCCUUUCCUGGAAGCACCCAGCCCGAGCCCACUGUGCAGGGGGCGUGCUGGGGGCUCUUUCAGCAGCCCCUUGCCCCUGAGCUCCAAGAGAGGUGGUCCACGCCUGGCGAAUCCCCCACACCAGCACCCUACUGCCAGGCAGAGUGAGCAACCCCAUCAGUAUUUGUCCAAUAAAAGCUGGAAUGACUGCAUUUCCCAUCACCCC
rnacentral:lncRNA from 1 species